ACAUGCUCCCAAAUCUGGGCCAUGGCCCAUGUUUCAACUUGAACACCUGCAAGCAUCUCGAAUUGAUGACUUGAUCUUUUACACGCCAGUUGCAAGAAGUCCAUCAUAAAUAGAGUUUUUUUUUUUCUUUCUUGAUUAUCAUUCCAUCAUUUUCUUGAUAACUGAAUUGGACAUAAUUACAAGGUCAUCUGUUUUGCCAUCUCAGUUUUAUUAAAUAAAAUGAUAAUAAUACAUUAUUUAGAUGGUUCUUUGGUGGUGCUCCCAUUCCUGAGUUUUGUUGCUCCACCCCUGUGCCCAAAUGUGCUCAUGCUUCUUGCAACUAAGCCUCCAUUACUCUGCAUGGGCUAUCAUUUUCAGAGCUUUGCGAAGUCCAUCAUGUGUACAAGGAAUACUGUCUACACGUCAUCACAUGUGCCAGCGCGGCCAAUAGGUGCAGUAUCCAAGCCAUCCAUCAGGUUGGUCUAACCCUUUAGUUAUUCUCGCCUAAAAGUAAAUCUAGUCCAUUCAGCAGCUGGGCUGCGAUGUUAGAAACAAUUAAUGGGUAAGAAAAGUCCGGCCAUUUGUUUUCCCCCUUUUAGAUGUAAUAUGUAGUUUAGAGAAAUGUGUGUGUGUGUGUGUGUGUGUGUGUGUGUGCAAUCCCGAGGAGUACCGUAUUUUUGUUUCAUGAUUAUAUAAGAGUGAAUAAUUCAUUGGAGCUAACACGAAUGACUAUUGUGCCCUAGAAGUCUUUCCCUUGUCUUCCUCUCUUCUUCCUUCUCUUUUAUCUCUCUCUUCUUUUCCUUUUAUCCUUUAUCCUUUCUUCUAUCUCCAUUCCUACUUUCUACUUGGUAUUGGAGCCAAGCUUCAGGGUUGGUUGAAGGUGUUCUUAGUGGUGUCCAUUGCUGAUGUCAUCACGCUGUACGGGUGAUAUCAGCAGUGUACCAUGGAAUGGCUCAGUGAAGAAGAAAAGUGUAGGAUUUGGGAGAGGAUGAAUUGAGCAGAAUUAUGGUGAUCUUUUGGGGAUUUUAUGGCAAGUAUUUGGUGGCGUUUUAUUUGAAAUAGAAAAAUUUCGGAAAAAGUGUCCAAUUUGUUUUGUUGAUUCUGUUUUUCGUGUGUGGGUUUUUUUUUUUUUUUUUCACAUUGAUUUGAUACGGUUGAGCAUGUGCAAUCUCUUUAGUAAAUUUUUUUUUUUGACUUUCCAUUGAGAUUUGAGAGAGUCAUAUGAUUUUUUUGUGGAGGGAAGUUGCCGUACGACCCAUGUUGAAGGUCUUUUGCUGAUGCUUUGGGUUGAUGUUCUCAUAUAGAAACUCCGUGGUGUGUUAGGGCUAUAUAUGCACUUAUAUGUGAGUAGCUACGAGCACCUUGUUUAUGUUCUUGUGUAGUUUCAAGUAGCUGGAGAGUUAACCACGCAAUAUGCAAGGUGCUUCUUUUUCAUUCAAGUGAUAACUCAAAUUCUUUGAUGAUUCAAAGAGCAGUCAAUGUUGUUAGAUUGAAUGAUAAUUCGUGUUUGCGGAUUACCACCGUCAAGUUUGAUGGUGAAAAUUAUUUAGCUUGGUCCAAGUCCAGCCUGUAUGUUCAUUUGGAGUCUUGGAGGAAGAAAGGAUAUCUAGACGCGACCAUUUUGGAACCUGAGAAAAUUGACCCUACUCAUACAGAUUGGGUAGCUGGGAAUAUUAUGAUAAUGAGCUGGUUACUUCACUAGAUGAAGCUUGAAAUUAGUGACAUGUUUAUGUACUAUGAAUCCGCUAAAGAGAUUUGGGACUCCGUUGCUGCUGCUUACUGGCUCGUGUGUUUUAGUUAACAUGAGAGAUUGCAAAUUUUCGUCAGGGGGAGAGAUCCUUGGAGAUUACUUUACGGUUCUUGGAGGGUUAUGGUUUGAGUUGGUCCAUUGUAGAUUGAUCUGACAAUGUUGUGCAUAGUAGUGUUGGGAGUAGAUUCUUAGUUGGGAGCCACUUCUCAUAGAACAGUCUUUUCUUUGCUUCAGCAAGAAGAAAGUCAUCAGAAAGUGAUGUUGGAUGUUGCUUCCAGUUCUUGUGACAGAUCUAUGCUGCUUAGUGUAGUGAUUGGCUGUCGUAGUGGACAGGGUUGAGGAGAUGUUGGGAAAGGAUGUGCUGCUCUGAGUCGUAGUCGUAUUGAUGUGGGACAUCGUCGUAUUGAUUUUGGUCAAGGUUGGUGUAUCUGUUCAGUGACGAGCACAACAAUCUAGUGUAUACCCCAUUGUGCCCUAGACAUACUCGAUAGACCUGUUGGGAUCUAGACAUCUAGUUUUUCGACCCGCAAGGAUGGGUUAUGUUGCUGCUACAGACACUCCUGACUCUGUUCAUGAUGAGUCGCAGAAGCUGAUGUCUUCAAGUGGUACGCAACGAUCCUUAGUUGAAGACAUUGUGAACCUGAAUUGUCAUUGGCUCUUCUGGAAGGGUCCUUUUAUAUUUCAUGAGGUAUAUCUGCAUAUGCACAUCUAACGUCCUCUUCUGCCAGUCAGUCCUGGAUCAUGGAUUCUGGCCCCACAGAUCACAUGACUGGUAUGACUUCAUAGUUCCUCUCCUAUUCAUCAUUGCCUAGAUCUAACAGUAAUGUCAAAAUUGCCUAUGGUCUCUAUACUCGUGUUAAAGGCAUCGGUACUGUUAAUGUUUCUCCAUCCUUAUCCUUGUCCUUUGUUCUUCAUGUUCCAAAGUUAUCCUCAAAUUUAUUACGUCUUACUUGGUCUCUUAACUGUAGUAUAGCUUUCUUUCCUUCUUAUUUUGCCUUUCAUGACUUGACAACUAGACAGGAUUCCAUUUCAAAUAAAAAAAAAAAAAAAACCCCCAACCAGACAGGAUUGGGGAUGGGCGUGAAUGCGGAGGGAUCUAUCUCAUUCAACCCCCAGAUGAUGUUGACUCGGCCUUCCAAACUUCUUGUCAUGUUAUGUCAACUACUAAUCGGAUUUUGUACUGCCAUCGGUGUAUUGGGCAUAUUCCGACUGGUAUUAUGAAGUUGUUGCUUCCUUUUUUGUUUAAGUAUAUGGUAGUUUGAGUGAACUAUUUUGUGAAAUAUGUUAACUCACCAAACAUUGUCUUCUUAUCCUGGUAGCUCUAAAAUGUGAUGCACCCUUCACUCUUAUUCAUUCUGAUGUCUUGGGGCCAUUCUCCAGUUACCAUUGUAUUUAGUUACUGAUAUUAUGUGUCCUUUAUUGAUGAUCCCACUCGCAUUACUUGGGUAUGUCUUAUGAAAUCUAAGGAUAAAGUCUUCUACAUCUUUUGGAUUUUUCAUAAGAUGGAAGAUGGUAGGGAAUCAAUUCGAGGCCAAAAUAAAGAUUUUAAGAUCUAGUGGUGGCUAUGAAUACAUCUCAUCAGCAUUUCAGAACUACUUGAACAUGGUAUUGAAUCUUUUAGACCAUACUUCCAUAUACCCAAAACAAAAUGGAGUGGCUGAGAAAAAGAAUAGGCACCUCCUUGAAGUUGCUCGAGCUCUCCUAAUUGAAAGGAAUGUUCCCAAGAACUUAUGGGCUAACGCUGUCUUUAGUGCAGCCUAUUUGAUUAAUAGGAUGCCCACUAGGAUCCUUGGAGGUAAGAUCCCCAUUCAAGUUCUACAUCUGGUUAAACCUCUCUUUCCUAUUCCUCCUAGAGUUUUUGGAUGUAUGUGCUUUGUUCAUGUUCCUGGUAUCCAUCGAGAUAAGCUUGAUGCAAAGUCCAUCAAAUGUAUCUUCUUAAGGUUAUUCUAGUAAUAAAAAGGAUACAAAUACUUUGCUCACAGAAUCCUAAACAAACGGUUUGUUCCAAUGGAUGUCACCUUCUUUGAGGAUGUUUUAUUUUAUUCAUCUGAAGGGAAGUUUCUUGUUCCUCCUUUGGAGAGUCUUUCAUGACUUCUUGCUUUUUUCUUUGGACACGCACACACACCUACACACUCAUGCCGUAGUGGGAUUUCACCACCUAUGGGUACUCGAACCCUUGACCUUGGUGUUGAAACUCUGUGAGUCUACCACUGGGGCAAGAGUAAGGACCCCAUGACUUCUUGCUUCUUCCUAUACUGGAAAUUUCCUACACAUUGUCUCAUCUUGGUUCUGUGCCCACCUUUCCUCCAUGUGAGUGACCACCUCAUUCUAUUGGUGGCCUAAAGGCAUAUGUUUUUUUUUUGAAAGAUGAAGGGAUUCAUUAAGAAAAAGGCCAAAAACAAAGAGAAUGGCUGCUGAGUAAGCAGCCCACAAUUACAGGCGUAAGAAGAAAAAGUCUUGACCAUAAAGGUCCUUAAUGUUUGAGGCUCACUCAAUCAUCAGAUGCUUGGCCUUAGUUGCCACUGAGCCAGCCAUAUUAGAAAUAUUCUUGAAGCAUCUACUAUUCCUCUCCCCCCACACCGACCACCAAACCGCAAGAACAGACAUCCUCCGGAUAAUUGUCUUCACCCUGCCAAUAUGCACCCCGUGCCACGCUUGAAGGAACUGGCUUACCUCACCCAGAAAGCACCAAUGUAAAUUGAACUCAUUCAUAAUCUCAACCCAAAUGGAUCGAACGAACAGACAAUGCAGCAACAGAUGGUCCACUGUCUCUUCAGCUUGCAUGCAGCAUAAGCAUAUGUUGGGGAGGACCAUCCCCUUCUUCCUCAGAUUGUCCACCGUAAGGAUUUUCUUAUCUUUCUCUCCCUAACUCUCUAAUCCACUGCUCUAGACUCGGUAUGACUUCACAUUCUAAUUCUCUUAAUGUUCCUAUUGCAUUGCAUAAAGGGUAGAGGUCAUGUACUACUCAUCCAAUUGCCAACUUUCUUUCCUAUGAUUCUCUUUCUCCCUCAUAUUGUGCAUUUCUUUCCCACAUUUCUACCAUGUUAGUUCCUUCUAGUGUUUGUCUUGCUCUCAUGCUCCCUGAGUGGAAACAAGGUAUGUUGGGAGGAGAUGAGUGACCUUGAAAAAAAAAUAAA